rnacentral:rRNA from 1 species
UAACACGUAGGGAACCUGCCCGCGCACCGGGAAUACGCUCUGGAAACGGAGAACAAAUCCCGAUGUACAGGAAGGAGGCAUCUUCUUUCUGUGAAACAUCCUUUAGGGGAUGGGGCGCGGAUGGACCUGCGGUGCAUUAGUUUGUUGGCGGGGUAAAGGCCCACCAAGACGAUGAUGCAUAGCCGGCCUGAGAGGGCGGACGGCCACAUUGGGACUGAGACACGGCCCAGACUCCUGCGGGAGGCAGCAGUAGGGAAUUUUCGUCAAUGGGCGCAAGCCUGAACGAGCGAUGCCGCGUGAGUGAAGAAGGCCUUCGGGUCGUAAAGCUCUGUUGCGGGGGAAAAAGGGCAGCAUCAGGAAAUGGGUGCUGACUGAUGGUACCCCGCCAGAAAGUCACGGCUAACUACGUGCCAGCAGCCGCGGUAAUACGUAGGUGGCGAGCGUUAUCCGGAAUGAUUGGGCGUAAAGGGUGCGCAGGCGGUCCUGCAAGUCUGGAGUGAAACGCAUGAGCUCAACUCAUGCAUGGCUUUGGAAACUGGAGGACUGGAGAGCAGGAGAGGGCGGUGGAACUCCAUGUGUAGCGGUAAAAUGCGUAGAUAUAUGGAAGAACACCAGUGGCGAAGGCGGCCGCCUGGCCUGUUGCUGACGCUGAGGCACGAAAGCGUGGGGAGCAAAUAGGAUUAGAUACCCUAGUAGUCCACGCCGUAAACGAUGAGGACCAAGUGU